AUUCGCGUUUCGGCUGUCGAAGUUGAACGUUUGUAUGACGGAUGUAGUUCGGCUUCGUCCGCGUCUUACGUUUUUCGAGUCGAUGUCGAACGCGUGCACUUUUCCUCUAGUAGGACGUCGCGAUCCGUUGGGUGUCUGUCUAAGACUUGAGGUGGAGCCCACGCGAUUUUCGAUCGUGUGGACCCUCGAUGUUCCGACAGACUCGCUCGACGGUAUACUAAUGGCGCGAGGCCGCUACCUAAGUUAGCGUUCGGCCCGUAGCAAGCACGUUCUGUGUUUGACAGCGAUCGGACCUGGUGCCGAUUCUGUUCCGGAACGACUGUUGGUUACGGUGUUCUCGAACAGACCUCG
rnacentral:rRNA from 1 species